rnacentral:rRNA from 1 species
AGGUAUUGACGGUAUUUAACCAGAAAGCCACGGCUAACUACGUGCCAGCAGCCGCGGUAAUACGUAGGUGGCAAGCGUUGUCCGGAUUUAUUGGGCGUAAAGCGAGCGCAGGCGGUUUUUUAAGUCUGAUGUGAAAGCCUUCGGCUCAACCGAAGAAGUGCAUCGGAAACUGGGAAACUUGAGUGCAGAAGAGGACAGUGGAACUCCAUGUGUAGCGGUGAAAUGCGUAGAUAUAUGGAAGAACACCAGUGGCGAAGGCGGCUGUCUGGUCUGUAACUGACGCUGAGGCUCGAAAGUAUGGGUAGCAAACAGGAUUAGAUACCCUGGUAGUCCAUACCGUAAACGAUGAAUGCUAAGUGUUGGAGGGUUUCCGCCCUUCAGUGCUGCAGCUAACGCAUUAAGCAUUCCGCCUGGGGAGUACGGCCGCAAGGCUGAAACUCAAAGGAAUUGACGGGGGCCCGCACAAGCGGUGGAGCAUGUGGUUUAAUUCGAAGCUACGCGAAGAACCUUACCAGGUCUUGACAUACUAUGCAAAUCUAAGAGAUUAGACGUUCCCUUCGGGGACAUGGAUACAGGUGGUGCAUGGUUGUCGUCAGCUCGUGUCGUGAGAUGUUGGGUUAAGUCCCGCAACGAGCGCAACCCUUAUUAUCAGUUGCCAGCAUUAAGUUGGGCACUCUGGUGAGACUGCCGGUGACAAACCGGAGGAAGGUGGGGAUGACGUCAAAUCAUCAUGCCCCUUAUGACCUGGGCUACACACGUGCUACAAUGGAUGGUACAACGAGUUGCGAACUCGCGAGAGUAAGCUAAUCUCUUAAAGCCAUUCUCAGUUCGGAUUGUAGGCUGCAACUCGCCUACAUGAAGUCGGAAUCGCUAGUAAUCGCGGAUCAGCAUGCCGCGGUGAAUACGUUCC